rfam:Ipomoea nil DNA, scaffold: scaffold0871, cultivar: Tokyo-kokei standard.
UCCGUUGUAGUCUAGUUGGUUAGGAUACUCGGCUCUCACCGAGAGACCCGGGUUCAAUUCCCGCAACGGAA